rnacentral:rRNA from 1 species
UGCAGUCGAGCGAGGGCGCUUUCUCCGCAAGGAGAGGGCGUUCCUAGCGGCAAACGGGUGAGUAACACGUGGGCAACCUACCCUGUCGUGGGGAAUAAGCUCGGGAAACCGGGUCUAAUGCCGCAUGUGGUCGCCGAAGGCGUCUUCGGUGAAGAAAGCAGCAAUGCGCGACGGGAUGGGCCCGCGGCCUAUCAGCUUGUUGGUGGGGUAACGGCUCACCAAGGCAAUGACGGGUAGCUGGUCUGAGAGGAUGAUCAGCCACACGGGGACUGAGACACGGCCCCGACUCCUACGGGAGGCAGCAGUUUGGAAUCUUCCGCAAUGGGCGAAAGCCUGACGGAGCGACACCGCGUGUGGGAUGAAGACCUUCGGGUUGUAAACCACUGUCGGAGGGGACGAGAAUGGACGGUACCCUCCAAGAAAGCCCCGGCUAACUACGUGCCAGCAGCCGCGGUGAUACGUAGGGGGCGAGCGUUACCCGGAUUUACUGGGCGUAAAGCGCGUGUAGGCGGCUGGUCAAGCGUGAUGUGAAAUCCCCUGGCUCAACCAGGGAACUGCAUUGCGAACUGGCCUGGCUAGAGUGCAGGAGAGGGUGGCGGAAUUCCCGGUGUAGCGGUGAAAUGCGUAGAUAUCGGGAGGAACACCAGUGGCGAAGGCGGCCACCUGGCCUGUAACUGACGCUGAGACGCGAAAGCGUGGGGAGCGAACCGGAUUAGAUACCCGGGUAGUCCACGCCUUAAACUUUGCGAACUAGGUGUUGGCGAGAUUGACCUCGUCAGUGCCGCAGCUAACGCAUUAAGUUCGCCGCCUGGGAAGUACGGUCGCAAGAUUAAAACUCAAAGGAAUAGGCGGGGGCCCGCACAAGCAGCGGAGCGUGUUGUUUAAUUCGAUGCAACGCGAAGAACCUUACC